UUUUAAUUAUUUUUAUUUAUGUUAAUUUUAAAAGAUUUUGUGGCUGCUAAUUUUUUUUUAAUGUAAUUUUCACGUGCAUGGCAGGUAAGUUUGCAUUCAUAGACAAUGCCAAAUAAUGGUCAUCUACCUCAAUAUUAGCCUUUGAAACAACUUUGAUUAGGUGACAGUAACUAAGCUUAUAUUGUGAUAUUUAUUGUUGACACACAAUGCUUUUUUUUUUUUUUAAACAAAAUUUUGUGUGGGACUUCUGUAAAAUUCACCAACUUUUCUAAUGCUGCUAUAUAGGGUUUUUUUUGGUUUGUUUAUGAAUGUGUUAAUCUUAUGCUUACACCAAAGUUUCUUUAUUGAAAUUAUAUUUCAGAAAUUGACUUAAUUAUUACUGGAAAAAAAAAUCCCCAAUAAUGUGGGUAUUAAAAAAAUAUUUUCUUUUAAUGUUCAAGGAACUAAUGCAAUUAAUAUUCUUCUGAGUGAAACAUUUUACAGAAUCUAAAGAAAUGCCCUCCAAUCAAAAGACUGUCACAUUUUUGUCCUGUACUGUUCCUUUUUAUCACUCAAGAUGGACACAAAGAUUGUGUUCUACAUUUUCUUUUUGAAAGUUGUUUUUUCUAUUCUAUACCAUAGUCUGUGUAUGAACUCAUUUCAUGAACAUGGUUGUACUUGUGACUGCCUGAUGGUUGUACUUGUGACUGCCUGAUGGUUGUACUUUGUGA
rnacentral:sRNA from 1 species